UUUAGUUAGUAGUGGUAGACGCGAAACCGUGUGAUCUACCCAUGGGCAGGUUGAAGCUGUAGUAACAUACAGUGGAGGACCGAACCGGUUGACGUUGAAAAGUCUUCGGAUGACCUGUGGGUAGGGGUGAAAGGCCAAUCAAACUCGGAAAUAGCUCGUACUCCCCGAAAUGCAUUUAGGUGCAGCGUUGAUUUAGUUUUAUAGAGGUAGAGCUACUGAUUGGAUGCGGGGGCU
rnacentral:rRNA from 1 species